rnacentral:rRNA from 1 species
GACGAACGCUGUCGGCGUGCUUAACACAUGCAAGUCGAACGGAAAGGCCCUGCUUUUGUGGGGUGCUCGAGUGGCGAACGGGUGAGUAACACGUGAGUAACCUGCCCUUGACUUUGGGAUAACUUCAGGAAACUGGGGCUAAUACCGGAUAGGAGCUCCUGCUGCAUGGUGGGGGUUGGAAAGUUUCGGCGGUUGGGGAUGGACUCGCGGCUUAUCAGCUUGUUGGUGGGGUAGUGGCUUACCAAGGCUUUGACGGGUAGCCGGCCUGAGAGGGUGACCGGCCACAUUGGGACUGAGAUACGGCCCAGACUCCUACGGGAGGCAGCAGUGGGGAAUAUUGCACAAUGGGCGGAAGCCUGAUGCAGCAACGCCGCGUGCGGGAUGACGGCCUUCGGGUUGUAAACCGCUUUCGCCUGUGACGAAGCGUGAGUGACGGUAAUGGGUAAAGAAGCACCGGCUAACUACGUGCCAGCAGCCGCGGUGAUACGUAGGGUGCGAGCGUUGUCCGGAUUUAUUGGGCGUAAAGGGCUCGUAGGUGGUUGAUCGCGUCGGAAGUGUAAUCUUGGGGCUUAACCCUGAGCGUGCUUUCGAUACGGGUUGACUUGAGGAAGGUAGGGGAGAAUGGAAUUCCUGGUGGAGCGGUGGAAUGCGCAGAUAUCAGGAGGAACACCAGUGGCGAAGGCGGUUCUCUGGGCCUUUCCUGACGCUGAGGAGCGAAAGCGUGGGGAGCGAACAGGCUUAGAUACCCUGGUAGUCCACGCUGUAAACGGUGGGUACUAGGUGUGGGGUCCAUUCCACGGGUUCCGUGCCGUAGCUAACGCUUUAAGUACCCCGCCUGGGGAGUACGGCCGCAAGGCUAAAACUCAAAGGAAUUGACGGGGCCUCGCACAAGCGGCGGAGCAUGCGGAUUAAUUCGAUGCAACGCGUAGAACCUUACCUGGGUUUGACAUGGAUCGGGAGUGCUCAGAGAUGGGUGUGCCUCUUUUGGGGUCGGUUCACAGGUGGUGCAUGCCUGUCGUCAGCUCGUGUCGUGAGAUGUUGGGUUAAGUCCCGCAACGAGCGCAACCCUUGUUCACUGUUGCCAGCACGUUAUGGUGGGGACUCAGUGGAGACCGCCGGGGUCAACUCGGAGGAAGGUGGGGAUGACGUCAAGUCCUCAUGCCCCUUAUGUCCAGGGCUUCACGCAUGCUACAAUGGCUGGUACAGAGAGUGGCGAGCCUGUGAGGGUGAGCGAAUCUCGGAAAGCCGGUCUCAGUUCGGAUUGGGGUCUGCAACUCGACCUCAUGAAGUCGGAGUCGCUAGUAAUCGCAGAUCAGCAACGCUGCGGUGAAUACGUUCCCGGGGCU